rnacentral:rRNA from 1 species
UACGAAGGGUGCGAGCGUUAUUCGGAGUUAUUGGGCGUAAAGGGCGCGUAGGCGGUCUGCUAAGUCAGCUGUUAAAACUCUCGGCUUAACCGAGAAAAAGCAGGUGAUACUGAUAGGCUAGAGGACAGAAGAGAGAAGUGGAAUUCUCGGAGUAGCGGUAAAAUGCGUAGAUCUCGAGAGGAACACCGAUGGCGAAGGCAGCUUCUUGGUCUGUAUCUGACGCUGAGGCGCGAAAGCGUGGGGAGCAAACAGG